AUUGAACGCUGGCGGCAGGCCUAACACAUGCAAGUCGAGCGAGCGGCGGACGGGUGAGUAAUGUAUGGGGAUCUGACCGAUAGAGGGGGAUAACUACUGGAAACGGUGGCUAAUACCGCAUACUAUCGGAUGAACCCAUAUGGGAUUAGCUAUUAGGUGGGGUAAAGGCUCACCUGGGCGACGAUCUCUAGCUGGUCUGAGAGGAUGACCAGCCACACUGGAACUGAGACACGGUCCAGACGCCGACGGGAGGCAGCAGUGGGGAAGAGUGCACGAUGGUCGCAAGCCUGAUGCAGCCAUGCCGCGUGUGUGAAGAAGGCCUUCGGGUUGUAAAGCACUUUCAGCGAGGAGGCGUUACUCGCAGAAGAAGCACCGGCUAACUCCGUGCCAGCAGCCGCGGUAAUUC
rnacentral:rRNA from 1 species